CAGUAGCCACGGGAAUACAGAGGGUGCGAGCGUUAAUCGGAAUUACUGGGCGUAAAGCGCGCGUAGGUGGUUUGUUAAGUUGGAUGUGAAAGCCCUGGGCUCAACCUGGGAAUUGCAGUGGAUACUGGGUCACUAGAGUGUGGUAGAGGAUAGUGGAAUUUCCGGUGUAGCAGUGAAAUGCGUAGAGAUCGGAAGGAACAUCUGUGGCGAAGGCGACUAUCUGGGCCAACACUGACACUGAGGCACGAAAGCGUGGGGAGCAAACAGGAUUAGAUACCCCGGUAGUCCCUGUCUCUUAUAC
rnacentral:rRNA from 1 species